CUACGUAGGGUGCGAGCGUUGUCCGGAAUUACUGGGCGUAAAGAGCUCGUAGGUGGUUUGUCGCGUCGUCUGUGAAAUUCCGGGGCUUAACUCCGGGCGUGCAGGCGAUACGGGCAUAACUUGAGUACUGUAGGGGAGACUGGAAUUCCUGGUGUAGCGGUGAAAUGCGCAGAUAUCAGGAGGAACACCGGUGGCGAAGGCGGGUCUCUGGGCAGUAACUGACGCUGAGGAGCGAAAGCAUGGGUAGCGAACAGGAUUAGAUACCCUGGUAGUCCAUGCUGUAAACGGUGGGCGCUAGGUGUAGGGGUCUUCCACGACUUCUGUGCCGUAGCUAACGCAUUAAGCGCCCCGCCUGGGGAGUACGGCCGCAAGGCUAAAACUCAAAGGAAUUGGCGGGG
rnacentral:rRNA from 1 species